CCUCUGCGCUCCUUGCCCCUUAACUGUUUUCACUGCGCACGCGCAGUGCUUAACGGCCGGUCUGGAGCCCAACAAUUAGUCCCUUGCCUUCUCAAAAACUCUUAGUUCGAAGAAGCGGUCGUGAACACUCUCUUUACACAAAAACACUUAUUUUUCGGCGAGAGCGGCGCCCUCAUUUACUAGCUCAGGCGGACGCCGGUGCUUUCGGGAAUGAGGUUCCGGCGGUCGCGCCAAGCAGCGUACGCAGCCUGCUUAAGUCACGCUACCUUCGCCACACAAACCAAGAGGAUUUUAAUACUCCGGCGAGGCCUUUUGUGUGAACUGUUCAACGCUUACCCGCUCCGAUUCCGGAAUACCGCAGUCGCCACCGUUCCUGUAAUUCUCUCCAACCCUUUCGAUGCUUCUACUUCUUCAUGAACAAGACAAGAUGGCGCCGGAUUGGCGCCACCCGGAAGUGAAUAAUAACAUCCGCUUUCCGUCUGAAGUCAUAUUUGCCCUCAGCCAGGCUUGUGAGCAUGUGAUUAUACCGGCUUGAUGCGCCCGCGCCAUUUUUUUUAUGGGCAAACCCUCCGCGAUUUCUGCGGCUGAAUAUUCGUAUGUUAAGCCUGCGUCGUACCCGCCACAUUUUCAUCUGUACAGCCAGCACAAAGCCGAGAGAGCCUAGUGUUCCGUACAAACGGCGCCUUGAAGUUCUUAACUUUAGUAAGGAGACCCUCCAAGGGAAAAUGUGUUCUCUCCUACGAACAUUUAUACUCAGGGAAAGAUGUUGAAUUCGCUUCUCCACUUUUAGACUACGGAGGGGGCCCAAAGUCAAACCCAGUCAACUUGGAACUCAUUGUGCCAGCUCCACUUCAGACAAGCUGGCAUCAGGCUGGAGCGCCGCGGAGUUCCGCAAGCAGGGAGUUUGCCUAGGUCUCUUUGUUACCCUCCUAACAUCGCGCCCCCUCGUGGAACAUCCGCUCAGUUCACCUCCGCUCGGCUACUCUUGGGAAAAAGUAACUGGGAAACAUAGUUUCUAUUGGUCCUCUACACCUCAGCUACAAGGUGGCCUUCAGAAAGGAGUUACUGCAACAUCUACUGGGAAUCUAUUUGCCCAGCCAGUGUCCUGAGUGCAGAGACAGGAAAGGAAGACAAGGCCUGUGCCAAGUGGCUCAAUGCACACAGGUUCUGGAGCGCCCCAUCAAGGAACUAUAAACUACUCGUCCCUACAAUGCAUCACAAGCCAGAAACAAAGCAAGCUGGAUGCUUACCUGCAGAACUGGUUUCCUUUUGACACUUCUGCUUCUUUUCAGUACAGUCCUCACAGAGAAGCUUAUUGUUGCCCAUCAGCAACUCCAUGGAUGUGAACUGGUAGAGACAGGACUGCACUGAGCAUUCUUUAGAAGUAGUUACAUAGCUCUGAGAAAGAGUCUGAAAAGCAUUUUGGGCACUAGGAACCCUCAUAUGUUUUCCCUCUGAAAAACACAAGUUACUGGGGACACCGAGUGGCUGUUUUUCCCUGUCACAGUCUCUAUUUCCAAUUACAGCGCUGCCCAGACGAAGUCCAGCAAUUGCCUCAGCCACGUCUGCCUCCCCAAUGGGAGUCUCCGCGCUGUGUGGCAAUUCACUGGCCAGGGCGAGGUGCAGGUGCUGCUCUGCGCGCCCCCAGGCAUCGCCGCUGGAUCGGAGCAGCACAGUUUGCUUGGAAGCGCUCUCGGACUCGGAAGCUUCGCUGUCGGCGUCGGCGUCGGCACUGCUUUCACAAAGGCUGCCUUCUUUCUCACUGCCGUCGGUGGGGCUCUCGUUCAGCGACGACUCGGUACUCAGGACGCUGGCAAACCCGCUCCCUUCAAAGCUUUCGUUCUUCUGAUGCAUAACGCCAGUUUUCUCUUCUCCAGAUGGUAAUUUUCUUAAAGGUUUUCGGUCAUGACUUAGUUGAUUCUGUAAGUUGACAGCAUGUUUCAGAGAAAAGAAUUUUGUGACCUUAUUGAAAACAAAUGCCAUGAGUCCCAUUUAACUGCCCCAAUUACUAAAUAAACAUUUCUCUGAGAUCCAUUUCAAAAUCUA